rnacentral:rRNA from 1 species
UACGGAGGGGGCUAGCGUUGUUCGGAAUCACUGGGCGUAAAGCGCACGUAGGCGGAUUUGUUAGUCAGGGGUGAAAUCCCGGGGCUCAACCUCGGAACUGCCUUUGAUACUGCAGAUCUCGAGUCCGGAAGAGGUGAGUGGAAUUCCUAGUGUAGAGGUGAAAUUCGUAGAUAUUAGGAAGAACACCAGUGGCGAAGGCGGCUCACUGGUCCGGUACUGACGCUGAGGUGCGAAAGCGUGGGGAGCAAACAGG